CGCUGGCGGCGUGCCUAAUACAUGCAAGUCGAACGGUCUUUCUAUGGAAGCUUGCUUCCACUGAGAAGAUAGUGGCGAACGGGUGAGUAACACGUGGGUAACCUGCCCAUAAGAGGGGGAUAACAUCCGGAAACGGGUGCUAAUACCGCAUAGUUUUCUUGAUCGCAUGAUUGAGAAAGGAAAGACGGCCUUUGUGCUGUCGCUUAUGGAUGGACCCGCGGCGUAUUAGUUAGUUGGUGAGGUAACGGCUCACCAAGACGAUGAUACGUAGCCGACCUGAGAGGGUGAUCGGCCACAUUGGGACUGAGACGCGGCCCAAACUCCUACGGGAGGCAGCAGUAGGGAAUCUUCCGCAAUGGACGAAAGUCUGACGGAGCAACGCCGCGUGAGUGAAGAAAGGUUUUCGGAUCGUAAAACUCUGUUGUCAGAGAAGAACAAGUUGGAGAGUAACUGCUCCAGCCUUGACGGUAUCUGACCAGAAAGCCACGGCUAACUACGUGCCAGCAGCCGC
rnacentral:rRNA from 1 species